rnacentral:lncRNA from 1 species
GGGGAGACUCAAGAAGGCAGAGGGAAGACUGUGUUUCACAUUUGCAUCAGGCAUUUGGAAAGGAGAAUCCUGCUUCAGGGAGGUUAAUUUGGAGAACUCCUAGUUAUACAGUUGGUGUUCAGGACACAAGGACUCAGCUACAUGCAUUGGUUUUGAGGAUCGGAUCCUAAGUCUUUCUUAAUCCGCAGGUGGAAGUGGAAGGAAUUUCCUUGGUGCUUUUUUUUUGUGAUGUUAUAUUUCUGCCCUGCAACAAAGGCUGCACUUUUCUGCCUCAAAAGCAAGCAAAAGACUCCCUGCUAACCUGGUAAGCC